CUUAUCAUUAUAUUUAUAGAGAGUAGAUUCCUAACGUUCAAACAUACUGUGAGAUACUGAAAACUAACAUUCAAACAAAUGAGAGAAGUAAAGGUAAAGAAAAAAGUCACCAGGACUGGAGGAUUCACCAGCCAGUCAACCACAGUUUUAAAACCAUUUCCUUCUCUCUUCUUCUUCAUUUCAUUCUAAUUUCAUCAAAUUCCAACUCUCUCAUUGAUUCUGCAAAAUCCUUUUCAGAAAUCGAAACAUGCAAGACAUUAACAUUCAAAAUCCUUUUCGUGCACCAGGGAACCGCUGCAACAUUAAGAAGAGCCUGCAUGAAGAUGACAAUUGAAAGAGAUAAGGACAAAGGAAAUCACACAAUAAGUUGGCUCAUGAAGGAAAAGAAAAUGAAAAGGCCCUCAAACACCAUUCAGGAUCACAAGUUAGGACGGAUAACCACAAGAAUCAACCUUACCCAGCCACAAUGGGUUAAACUGGUCAGGUAUGUUUGGUAUUUCAACUUUGCACCGUCAGGGUUACAUCAUCCAAUCCCCAAACCAGCCCCUAAUCAUGGUUCUCUGUUAUUAUAUUUCCUUACUUCUAUAGGUUGUCCUCUUUAAUUUGUUGGACUAUCAUUAUGAUGUAGAUCAUUAAUUUGUUGGACUAUCAUUAUGAUGUAGAUCAUUAUGUCCACAACACAGCCAACACUAAGAGAUCUUACAAACCCUAACUAAGUAUUUUCCAUCAUUUGUUGAAGGCAACACUUAGGAUCUAACAUAUGAUUUAUGAUUAUCCAUUGCCCCAAAUGGUAGAAACACUUCUUCCUCAUCCUAAUCUCUGAGUUCAUCUGUCUAUUUUUAUUGCCACUUCCUCCACCAUACAAUUAAUUAUGUCCUUUGUUUUUUUUCUCUUUUGACUCCUUACAUUGGAGUGAGAAAUGGAGUUUGAACCAAUAAUGAACUGAAAAGCACAAUGCUAUUUUUGUUC